GUCGGUGUAUAGAUAUGGUGACAGAUACCUAUGCGCCCGAGUCAAGCAUGACCGUGUUGUCAUUUUUGUUAUUAAAAUUGCGAAGGAAGUGAACAAUUGUGAUAAUUUCUUGUUAUAAGAGAUAUGAAGUGGAAGAUGAGAAGUAAAUGAACCAAAGAUGAGUUGUUGUUGCAUCGUUUCCCUUGUCGGUACUUUUUGCUAAAUUGUUUCCCUUGCCGGGACUUGUUGGUGCAUUGUUUCUCCCUUGCCGGGAUGAUUAUUACUGUGAUCAUUGAUUGAGCAUAUAAUAAAUUCUUGUUAUAAAAGCUAUGAAGUGAAAGAUGGGAAGUAAAUGAACCAGAGUUACGUUUGUCCUAAAUAUGACAUAUAUUACUAACCAUUGAAUAGUGACAAAGAUGACAUAAUAACAUAUAGUCUUCAAAAAGAGUCAAUAGGCACUAGGUAGUAUCUGGAUAAAUUUAUGCGCAACAUUCAGAUCUGCAGUUUCACAUUCCUUCUCAAGCCUUAAGUUAUUGUUGUGAUUAGGGUGGUUUGUCGACACCAUUUCUUGAGCCCUUUCCACUACUGUAUUUCAUGUGGAAUGUUCUAUUGCUCCACAUCAAUUGCUGCUAUAUGUCUUCCUUUAGUUAUAUGACUGUCAAGUCUUUUUAGUAAUAGCGGUAUUGUCCAAAACAAUGUGAGUUAAAAGCAUCUAUAUGAAAACUGGCCGUAAACUCCUUGCCUGGUGUGGAUCCCCUUCCUUUAUGAAUUAGCUUUCUGG
rnacentral:lncRNA from 1 species